rnacentral:lncRNA from 1 species
GCGACUGGCGAGACCAAGGAAACUCGCUGCCUGGGUGCUGGCUGGACCUAUCGGAAACUUAGGUCUCCCGCAGCCGGGUGGUCGCCAACUCGAUUUGCCCCAAGCCUGGGAGCGACUGAAUAGGGACCGAAGGAAACAGGUGGAGAGGAACCUUGCCACCCUUGGCCCACCCCGGAAUUUGUAGAUGAGCUUUCCAGGAGCGCUGUGCAAGGCGACAGCGGCGUGCAGACCCGCUUUGGGACAGGUUAUAAUCAUCUUCCUUUUCAAGAAGGCUCAAGCCAGUCUAAGAUCUGAGGCAGUGGUGAGCAGAUAACAAGACCCAAUUAUUCCUCCUUGGUGUGCUGAGCAACUUAAUCUUGAGGCAGAACUAACUCCUAUGUUAGUGCUCAAAAAACACAGGGUUGGGAUGCCUAAGGAUAAUUUAAUAAAUAUGAUUAAUGAUUCCAGAGCUCCAAGAGUUCUGUGAACUAACCCUCUGCCUCAAAACUGAAGUAAGAUGGUCUUCAAGUUUCAGAAAAUUCUGUCUUAACUUAACCUAAAUUCUUAAGGGCUUUUAAAUCCAUUUUUCCCUGUAGUUCUGCAUUUAGUCACUCUCCUUCCUUAUAAUUAAAAUAUUUGAAGAAACUGUUACCAUCUAGCCUUCUGUUCUUUAAACAUUUACUUUUCUCCCUUAUUUCCUAUUUUUCAAUUAGCUUUGCUUCUCUUCUGAACCCUUUCAUUAUUUUCAUGUCUUUUUCAUUGAAAGUCAAACCUAUCAAAAGACUUCCCACAUUAAAUAAAUUUCUGUUUUAUCCUUAAUGGAACACUGUGUUUGUUAUUAGUUACAUUUACUUGAGGUGGAGCUGCCAUAUCCCUUUUCUAACAUUUAGUAAGCCCCUCAGUUUCUGAAAACCAGUCACCCGGACUCUCUAAGUUAGGAUAGUGGUAGGAACCUUUGGGAAUCUCAGAGAUAACUAAGCUCUGAAGUCACUUAGCAUCUUGUUUCCUGUGGAGGACAGAGGCAGUACAGAAAUAAAAGCUAGUUCUUUCUUUGCAUGUUUGCCACCAAUUAGAAUUAAGAUUAGAAAUGUGAUACACAGAACCAGACCAGCGUAGUUGGUGUACAUCAUUAUCUGCAGCAAUGUUUUCAGGAGAAUCAUCGCCAAGCCCUGAUGUUCUUUUUAAAAGAAAAAUAAAACCUAUCUAAGCAAGAAC